AUGUCUUGCUUCAGAUUACCUCAAGGCCUUUGCGAAAGCAUUACGUCACUCAUUCGCCAAUUUUGGUGGGGAAGUAAAAGAGGCAAGAGGAAACCAUGUUGGGUAGCUUGGGAUUUGAUGACCCGACCGAAAAGUUUGGGAGGACUUGGCUUUCGGGAUAUAGAGAUCUUCAACGUGGCCCUUUUGUCUCGGCAAGUUUGGAGAUUAUUGAAUGAUCCUUCCUCUCUUAGUGCACAAAUCCUUAAAGCAUCAUAUUUCCCACAAUGUUCAGUCCUGGAAGCUCAACUAGGUCCACAUCCUUCUCAGGUGUGGCGAUCUAUCCUUGAUGGGAGAGAUAUUAUCACCCAAGGAGCUAUCCGGCGUAUUGGUGAUGGAACUACCACGAACAUAUGGCAACAUAGUUGGAUCCCAAGGGACGGAAUGAUGAAGUCGGUAGCCUCUUUAGUUGCUGACCCACCGCAACUGGUUUCAGAUCUAAUUGAUCAUACUAGAGCUGCGUGGCGAGAGGACCUGCUCAGACAGGUGUUCAUUCCUAUUGACGUGGAGGCCAUCUUGGAAAUCCCGCUCUGUACACGGCUUGUGGACGAUUUCUGGGCGUGGAAUGCUGACCCAAGGGGGCGUUUUUCCGUUCGCUCAGCUUACAAGAUGAUUGUCAAGAUCAAGAUUGGGCGGGAGGCAUGGCUGGAGGAAAGGGAGGAUCCUUCCAACUCUGAACUUGAGAAGAGGGGGUGGAACUCAGUAUGGAACAUGCCAGUGCCACCGAAACUGCGUUUUUUCACUUGGCGAUUGGCGCAACACUCACUUCCUACCAUUGUUGAGGAAAUCGUUAACUGGUAG
rnacentral:rRNA from 1 species